CGCACCGGAAACGAGACGAAAAGUGGUACUCGAACUUGGAUUGCUGGGUGGGGUGGACUUGAAGGAUACGGUUUGGAGAAUAAUGAAGCAGGCGAUUAAAAAUGACUUUGCUAAAACCAUUAACUGGAGAGGUUUAAAUGGAAAAACGCCAUUCCAAAAUUUGGAGCUUAAAAGUGUUGUCAUUGAGGCUGUAAGAAGAAAUCCAGUUUGUGCCCAAAUUACUGAGCAGGAGGUUGAACAAGUUAUUAGACGGUGGUUUUACUUUGCUGGUGAUCGUGAGAGUGGC